rnacentral:rRNA from 1 species
AGUGAACGCUGGCGGUAGGCCUAACACAUGCAAGUCGAACGGCAGCACAGAGGAGCUUGCUCCUUGGGUGGCGAGUGGCGGACGGGUGAGGAAUACAUCGGAAUCUACUCUGUCGUGGGGGAUAACGUAGGGAAACUUACGCUAAUACCGCAUACGACCUACGGGUGAAAGCAGGGGAUCUUCGGACCUUGCGCGAUUGAAUGAGCCGAUGUCGGAUUAGCUAGUUGGCGGGGUAAAGGCCCACCAAGGCGACGAUCCGUAGCUGGUCUGAGAGGAUGAUCAGCCACACUGGAACUGAGACACGGUCCAGACUCCUACGGGAGGCAGCAGUGGGGAAUAUUGGACAAUGGGCGCAAGCCUGAUCCAGCCAUACCGCGUGGGUG